rnacentral:rRNA from 1 species
CCUACGGGAGGCAGCAGUGGGGAAUUUUGCACAAUGCUCGAAAGAGUGACGCAGCGACGCCGCGUGAAUGACGAAGGACUUCGGGACGUAAAGCUCUAUCGACAGGGAAGAAAAUGCAUAUAAGUAACUGAGUAUGUAUUGACGGUAACUGUCUAAGCAGCCCGGGCUAACUUCGUGGCAGCAGCCGCGGUAGUACGGAGGGGGCGAGCGUUGUUCGGAGUUACUGGGCGUAAAGGGAACGUAGGCGGUGGUGUAAGUCAUUAGUCAAAGACGAGAGCUCAACUUUAGGAAUGCUAUGGAUACUAUAAUGCUGGAGUAUCAGAGAGGAUAGUAGAAUUCCUGGUGUAGCGGUGAAAUGCGUAGAUAUCAGGAGGAAUACCAGUAGCGAAGGCGGCUAUCUGGCUGGAAACUGACGUUGAGGUGCGAAAGCGUGGGUAGCAAACAGGAUUAGAUACCCUUGUAGUC